rnacentral:rRNA from 1 species
UGCGCAGGCGGUUGAGUAAGACAGAUGUGAAAUCCCCGAGCUUAACUCGGGAAUGGCAUAUGUGACUGCUCGACUAGAGUGUGUCAGAGGGAGGUGGAAUUCCACGUGUAGCAGUGAAAUGCGUAGAUAUGUGGAAGAACACCGAUGGCGAAGGCAGCCUCCUGGGACAUAACUGACGCUCAGGCAUGAAAGCGUGGGAGCAAACA